GACGAACGCUGGCGGCGCGCUUAACACAUGCAAGUCGAGCGAGAACCAGACCUUCGGGUCUGGGGACAGCGGCGAACGGGUGAGUAACACGUGGGUAAUCAACCCUCGGUACUGGGAUAGCCCGGGGAAACCCGGAUUAAUACCGGAUGGCCCUUCGGAUCUUCGGUUCCGAAGGAAAAGGUAGCUUCGGCCUCCGACCGAGGACGAGCCCGCGGCGGAUUAGCUUGUUGGUGGGGUAACGGCCUACCAAGGCGGCGAUCCGUAGCUGGUCUGAGAGGACGAUCAGCCACACUGGGACUGAGACACGGCCCAGACUUCUACGGAAGGCAGCAGUGGGGAAUCUUGCGCUAAUGCGGGAAACCGUGACGCAGCGACGCCGCGUGAGGGAAGAAGGCCUUCGGGUUGUAAACCUCUUUCAGAAGGGACGAAGCUACUCGGGUUAAUAGCCCAGAGGGUGACGGUACUUUCAGAAGAAGCCCCGGCUAACUACGUGCCAGCAGCCGCCGUAA
rnacentral:rRNA from 1 species